rnacentral:rRNA from 1 species
UACGGGGGGAGCAAGCGUUGUUCGGAUUUACUGGGCGUAAAGGGCGCGUAGGCGGCCACCGCAAGUCGACUGUGAAAUCUCCGGGCUUAACCCGGAAAGGUCAGCCGAUACUGCGGGGCUAGAGUGCAGAAGGGGCAACUGGAAUUCUCGGUGUAGCGGUGAAAUGCGCAGAUAUCGGGAGGAACACCAAUGGCGAAGGCAGCUCGCUGGGACGUUACUGACGCUGAGACGCGAAAGCGUGGGGAGCAAACAGG